GGCAUCGUGGCUGAGAGGUUAAAGCGUUGCACUCGAAUUAUGCAAUGGGUUCACCCGCGCAGGUUCGAAUCCUGCCGAUGUCG